rnacentral:rRNA from 1 species
AUGCAGCCGAGGCCAGCCCAGGACGCCCUCUUCUGGCUUCUGCUCCCAGCACAGCGCCGGCCUGCAGCUCUGAACCCUACCGCCAACGGUGCGGCGCGCGGCCGGCCGGAGCGUAUCCUCGCCGGCUAUCCGGCGCCGCCACCAGGCACCGUCUUCCGCAACUCCAUACCUUCGGGUGCUCACUCCUCCGGGCCCCGACCUCAAGACCGUGUCGGCCGCUCGGCGGAGCCCGUGAAUCCUCAAUCCUCAGGGCUCAGGCUGUCCACUUCCUCAAGACCACUCAGCAUGGACUCCCUUCAUCUUGUGCACGUCAAGCUUCUGGCUGCCGACCUUCUCACGCUCACCCCCCGACAUACAUCGCCGGCUUCCUUUGUUCGCUGUGGCCGUACAGUUGCUCGUGCCGAGGUUGUCGGGAUCGUUGUUUCACGUGACCGCAGGGAGAAGUUUCUCCGCUUCCUGGUUGAUGAUGGCACUGGCUGUAUACCGUGUGUCCUGUGGUUGAACCACCGGUACCUGAAUGCAAACAGUUCAUCCGAUUCUGAUCCAACUGGAGAGAUGGCAUUGAAAAUGUCGGAGGUGGUACGCCUGGGCACCCUGUUGAGGGUUCGUGGGAGGAUUGUCAUGUACCGUGGUGCAAUUCAGAUUGCUGCUAGAGACGUGGUUCUAGAGGAGGACCCUAAUGUGGAGGUUCUACAUUGGUUGCAUUAUUCAUUAAAGGCAUACAUGGUUAAACUCAACUCGAAACAUGCAAGUCUUGCUGAUGAUAUGAUUUAUCCAGCGGUUAUAUGUCUCCGGAAUAUGCAAUGGAAGGCCUCUUUUCUGUUAAGUCUGAUGUCUAUAGCUUUGGAGUAUUGCUCUUGGAAACUGCAUGGAGUCUAUGGAGGGAAGGGCUGGCAAAAGAUCUUGUGGAUCCAUCUGUUUCAGAGAGCUGCUCGGAUGAAGAAGUUUUGUGUUGCAUUCAUGUCGGGCUCUUGUGUGUUCAGGAUGACUCGGAUGCGAGACCACCCAUGUCAACGGUUUUAA